AAUACCCUUCUCUCCUACUUCGCAUACACAUCCUGAGUUUCUUUCUUGGUGUAAUUGGAUUGCGUGCCAACUUCGUCCGCGAUUGAAAAUGAAUUUUAACAGCAUCUGCAAUCAUACAAAAAUAAAUUUUCGAAAAAAGACGUUUUGCAAUACAUAGUCUGGUCAUUCGAACCACAUCUCACCACACAAGCCAGUAUCAAUGACCAACAUCAGGAUACGAGAUAGAUGGCCCCAUCACAAUUUUAGUUAACUUAAUUAAUUGUACAAUUAUAAAAAGCAUAUACACUUAGUGAAUUUUAAAUUUACUUUAUUGCAAUGGUAAAUCUGUGUGCAUUCAGACGACACAUCAGGACAUGAGCCAGAUUGGUACCAUCACAAGUUGGUUAUGUUUGAAUUGUUCCAAAUAUUUCAAGACACAUAUAGACGGCUUUGCUUUAGAAAAUGGUUUAGAAAUAUGCUAUGGCGGCUAUGCAAUGGCCAACAUGUGUGCAUCCAGACGACAAAUCAGGACAUGAGCCAGAUUAGCACCAUCACAAGUUGGUUAUGUUUGAAUUGUUCCAUAUAAUUCAAGACGCAUAUAUAUAGACGUCAUUGCUUUAGAAAAUAAUGGUUUAGAAAUACGCUAUGCAAUGGCCAACAUGUGUGCAUUCAGACGACACAUCAGGACACGAGCCAGAUUGUUCCAUUACAAUUUUAGCCAACUUAAUUCAGACGACACAUCAGGACACGAGCCAGAUUAGUACCAUCACAAGUUGGUUAUGACGUCAUCCCUUGGGUAUUUAAGAAGCUACGAUCGCAGUUUUAGAUCACCCCUAAUGAAGACACUAGACUGGAGUGUCGAAACGUUGGGUCUUGAUUACAAUUCGACUGCGCUUUGUAAUCAUUUAUUUAAACCAGAGUAGCGAGCGAAACAUGUAUGUUUGAAUUGUUCCACAUAAUUCAAGACGCAUAUAGACGUCUUUGCUUUAGAAAAUAAUGGUUUAGAAAUACGUUAUGCAAUGGCCAAUCUGUGUGCAUUCAGACGACACACCAGGACACGAGCCAGAUUAGUACCAUCACAAGCUGGUUAUGUUUGAAUUGUUCCAUAUAUUUCAAGACACAUAUAGACGUCUUUGCUUUAGAAAAUAAUAGUUUAGAAAUACGUUAUGCAAUGGUAAAUCUGUGUGCAUUCAGACGACACAUCAGGACACGAGCCAGAUUGUUCCAUUACAAUUUUAGUUAACUUAAUCUCGAACUUAUAAUUGGAUAAAUAUAAAAACAUAUACAUUUAGGGCAUUUUAAAUUUACUUUAUGCAAUGGUAAAUAUGUGUGCAUUCAGACGACACAUCAGGACACGAGCCAGAUUGGUACCAUCACAAGUUGGUUAUGUUUGAAUUGUUCCAUAUAAUUCAAGACGCAUAUAGACGUCUUUGCUUUAGAAACUAAUAGUUUAGAAAUACGUUAUGCAAUGGCCAACCUGUGUGCAUUCAGACGACACAUCAGGACACGAGCCAGAUUAGUACCAUCACAAAUU